rnacentral:rRNA from 1 species
GACGAACGCUGGCGGCGUGCUUAACACAUGCAAGUCGAACGGACUGAGUUGAUAGCUUGCUAUUGAUGAAGUUAGUGGCAAACGGGUGAGUAACGCGUAGGCAACCUGCCCUUCAGAUGGGGACAACACCUCGAAAGGGGUGCUAAUACCGAAUGACGUUUCCUAGUCGCAUGACCUGGAAACCAAAGGCCGGGCAAACCGGUUCACUGAAGGAUGGGCCUGCGUCUGAUUAGCUAGUUGGUGGGGUAACGGCCCACCAAGGCGACGAUCAGUAGCCGGUCUGAGAGGUAUGAACGGCCACAUUGGGACUGAGACACGGCCCAGACUCCUACGGGAGGCAGCAGUUGGGGAAUCUUCCGCAAUGGGCGAAAGCCUGACGGAGCAACGCCGCG